UCUCCCUCAGGAAAAAAAAAAUAAAAAAAAAACCUUCCUCUGCCCCUUGUCCAUAAGCGAUAGCCGAACCCAACUCCCGAGUUCCUAAAAUUCCACUAAAGAAUAACUGUUGACCAAAUAGGGUCGAAACACACCAUAUAGCAGAAACCACGUCAUAUGCAUAAUUAGAAGUCCCCUUACUAGUAUUGUCAUCUUCAACGAUCCCGAAAGCAUUACAGACAUUACUGACACCAUUGUACCUACGCUCCCUUGAGCAAUGUUCUGAACGACUCAGAGUUCGUCACAAAAGGUACUGUACCAAACUCAAUAUCCACCACGGUAUUGAACUUGUCCAGAUGUCUCUUAAUUAGUUCUGCGCUUCCCUACAAUAUGUACAACUGAGACUUCUCCUGUCCCUCCAGUACAAUUCGGACACCCCUUUGGACCUUCAAGACUCCACUUCUACCAGAGAAAUUAUAUCAUUUUUCAUUCAGGGCACUCAGCGAGAUGAGAUUCCUUUUCAGGUCUAGAACAUGUCGAACAUGAUCAAUUGUUCUAACCGUC
rnacentral:lncRNA from 1 species